GGGGAGGAGGGGGCGGGGCUUGCCCAGGAGCCUGGUUGACUUGAAGUCGCUUUACCAAACGGUAUUAGGACAGACCUGUUGGCAUUGGAGAUGGAGGCCCCACAAGAUCAGAGCCACAUCCUAGAAGGGAAUGUCCUGAGACUUACUUCGGAGCAGAGUUGACUAACCCGGAAGGCAUUUUGUCCUUAUUUUGAAGACCUUGGCUUGCUACUGAAGGAGGAAAAAGCUGUUCACCACUGGAAAAAAAAAAGUAAACUAAAUAAAAAGCAUCUCAUACACAAAUACAGCAAGGAGAUCCCCCCGCCCUCAGCUCAGCCAUCCCAACUCCCACAAACAGGAAAAAGCGUGGUUCUUUUAGUGGGGGGAUUUUUGGAGUGAGCCCCGAAAGUCAGACUCAGUCGGAUCUCUGAUCAGGUGGGUUACUAAAAAGGAGAGGGAGAUAAGCAGAGGAAAAAAAACAAACCUUCAACUUAAACGAAGGGAGGGGAGGAAGGAAGGAAGGAAGGAAGGAAGGAAGGAAGGAAGGAAGGAAGG